rnacentral:pre_miRNA from 1 species
GUGUGGCCGAGGGUGUGUCUUUUUCCGCUUUGCUGCCGCUGAAAUGGAGUCCGCCAGCAAAGGGGAACAGGCCGACCCUCCCGCACCAA